GGCCGAACUCCGUUAUCAAAUUUGUGUCUUUAUUUUGUCAAAAGAUGCAAAUUUCAACAAUCAAAUUUUCAAAAGUUGCAACUCCCGGUACCAAAAAUUUCCACCAUUUUGAUUCUGUUGUCUGCAGAAACUCCUCUAUAAAUUGAGGAGAGUUCUGCAGAAGGAAGAAGUGCAGCAAGAGGUGUGAGGCAAGAGAGAGUUUAGGAGAAUUUUUAAAAUUUCUUACUUGCAAGAGCUCAAGUGAGCUCCCUUCGCCAGGCUAUUUCUUCGCCGACCGGCCACUAGGCUCUGAACCGAGAACGUGUACUCGUUCCUCCAUCUUCAGGCUACCAAACCCAACAAUCGAAAGGCCGAAGCCUUCUCUAUAUUUUCCUGACCAAAGGCCGCAAUAUCCUUCGGAGGCCAACGUCGAAUUCCCGACUUAGCCACCGGCCAACUUACGGCUUUCGUUUCUCACUAUCCUUACGACGAAAAAGGAUUGAGAAAACACCGUUGUGUAGCCUGAUCUACCUCGCACGAGGAAGACUAAGUCGUAGACCUUCGCGGCUAAACACCAUCGCGGAACGACGACCAGAAAACCCCCGACGAACAACUUCCAUUAGUGCUCACUUGGACAAGGGUUCAAAUAAACAAAAGCGUCUGAGUAACCUAUCGCGCUAAGGAAAGAGAAUCAUUGUCUUAAGUAGCAAAACACUGCAAUCAGGUGGGCAUUACUUUUACUAUACGUAUAUAGAGAUCCCCUACGUAUCGUAGGCCUCUUAUACGAAUGAAUGCAUGAGAUGAUCUAACUGUUAAUUUCAGUUUCAUAUAUAUCAAAUGAGUUUAAAUGUUACAUUCAAGCAAGUUAUUUCAUGACAAAAUCUUUGAGUUAAAGUUAUUUCAAGUAUUGUCUUGCCAUAAAAUGUUUAAAUUUUAGUAUGAUAUCUAUCUGCUUUGGCUUUGCCAAUGAUGCAAUCGAAUUCGGGUCCUGAGCAGUUGAUAGCUAUCCUGCCAGGACUAGUGUACACCAGUGACCGUGAGUCAUCUAGCGGGUUGGCCGGUCAAGUGACCGUGAGAGGUGGCCACCUCUCCGGCACACAGUUCCAGAUAUGAUAGAUUACAAGAGAACUUAGACUGCAGUCGAACUUUAAGAAUCACAAAUGAAUUUAGUAAGCUUGGGCCUUUUUAGCGAAAAACUCCCUUGCUGUACUGUUUAUGAUGGCACGACAAUUUACAGUUUUGAAGCAUGUAUUUUUAUACCUAGGCAUACGUGCCCACUGAGUGCUUUUGUACUCAGCCCUGCAUAUGUUUUCUAAAUGUGCAGGUUGAGCUGAUGUGAUGAUGGUGCUGCAAUGAGCGGAGUCUCCAGGGUUGUUAAUAAAUAGUUAACCUGUCUAGAAUAUGUCUUCAUACAUAUGUCUAGCUACUUUCCGCUGCAAGAUGUUGUUGAUGUUAUAGUAUGUUAUGUCAUACUUUGAGUCUUAAGAGAAUGGUUUCAUAUGAUGUAUAACUUGAUUAAUGAUAUUAAUUAAGUUUUAUGCUGUCUUUCAUAGACUAUUUUCAA